rnacentral:rRNA from 1 species
AGGCAGCAGGGGGGAAUCUUGCGCAAUGGGCGAAAGCCUGACGCAGCGACGCCGCGUGAGGGAAGAAGGCCUUCGGGUUGUAAACCUCUUUCAGGAGGGACGAAGCUACUCGGGUUAAUAGCCCAGAGGGUGACGGUACCUCCAGAAGAAGCCCCGGCUAACUACGUGCCAGCAGCCGCGGUAAUACGUAGGGGGCAAGCGUUGUCCGGAUUUACUGGGCGUAAAGAGCGUGUAGGCGGCAAAGCAGGUCUGUUGUGAAAACUGGAGGCUCAACCUCCAGACGUCGACAGAAACCGCUUGGCUAGAGUCCGGAAGAGGAGAGUGGAAUUCCUGGUGUAGCGGUGAAAUGCGCAGAUAUCAGGAAGAACACCAAUGGCGAAGGCAGCUCUCUGGGACGGUACUGACGCUGAGACGCGAAAGCGUGGGGAGCGAACAGGAUUAGAUACCCUGGUAGUCCACGCCGUAAACGAUGGGUGCUAGGUGUGGGGGGUGUCGACUCCCUCCGUGCCGCAGCUAACGCAUUAAGCACCCCGCCUGGGGAGUACGGCCGCAAGGCUAAAACUCAAAGGAAUUGACGGGGACCCGCACAAGCAGCGGAGCAUGUGGUUUAAUUCGAUGCAACGCGAAGAACCUUACCAGGGCUUGACAUGCACUAGAAAACCGUAGAAAUACGGUCCUCCUUCGGGACUGGUGCACAGGUGGUGCAUGGCUGUCGUCAGCUCGUGUCGUGAGAUGUUGGGUUAAGUCCCGCAACGAGCGCAACCCCUGUCCUAUGUUGCCAGCGAGUAAUGUCGGGGACUCAUGGGAGACUGCCGGUGACAAAUCGGAGGAAGGUGGGGAUGACGUCAAGUCAUCAUGCCCCUUAUGUCCUGGGCUACACACGUGCUACAUUGGCCGGUACAAAGGGCUGCAAACUCGCGAGAGUGAGCGAAUCCCAAAAAGCCGGUCCCGGUUUGGAUUGAAGGCUGAAACUCGCCUUCAUGAAGGCGGAGUUGCUAGUAAUCGCGGAUCAGCAGCGCCGCGGUGAAUACGUACACGGGCCUUGUACACACCGCCAUCCAUAUGACUUG